rnacentral:rRNA from 1 species
CCAAUAGCGUAUAUUAAAGUUGUUGCAGUUAAAAAGCUCGUAGUUGAAUUUCGGGAUCAAUUUAUCGGUCGUGCAAUUGUACGUACUGAUUUUAUUGAUUCCUCCCUUCUGAUGAACUAUGAUGUCAUUAAUUUGGUGUCAUAGGGAAUCAGGACUGUUACUUUGAAAAAAUUAGAGUGUUUAAAGCAGGCUCACGCUUGAAUACAUUAGCAUGGAAUAACGGAAUAGGACGUUUGAUUCUAUUUUGUUGGUUUCUAGGAUCGACGUAAUGAUUAAUAGGGAUAGUUGUGGGCAUUAGUAUUCAAUUGUCAGAGGUGGAAUUCUUGGAUUUAUUGAAGACUAACUACUGCGAAAGCAUUUGCCAAGGAUGUUUUCAUUAAUCAAGAACGAAAGUUAGGGGAUCGAAGACGAUCAGAUACCGUCGUAGUCUUAACCAUAAACUAUGCCGACUAGGGAUCGGAUGAUGUUAAUUUUUUAAUGACUCAUUCGGCGCCUUACG